rnacentral:rRNA from 1 species
GGGUUAGUCGGGACCUAAGCUGAGGCCGAAAGGCGUAGGUGAUGGACAACAGGUUGAUAUUCCUGUACUACCGAUAACCGUUUGAGAGAAGGGAUGACACAGUAGGAUAAGCUAAGCACACUGUUGGUUAUGUGUGCCCAAGCAUUGAGGCAGUCAAAGUAGGCAAAUCCGCUUUGAUAAUGCUGGGAUGUGAUGGGGAGCGAAAUUUAGUAGCGAAGUAGCUGAUUUCACACUGUCAAGAAAAGUCUCGAUCGAGGUUAAAGGUACCCGUACCGCAAACCGACACAGGUGGGUGAGGAGAGUAUCCUAAGGCCAGCGAGAGAACUGUUGUUAAGGAACUCGGCAAAAUGACCCCGUAACUUAGGGAUAAGGGGUGCCACCAUCAGGUGGCCGCAGAGAAUAGGCCCAAGCGACUGUUUACCAAAAACAUAGG